GAUGAACGCUGGCGGCGUGCCUAACACAUGCAAGUCGAGCGAACAGAUGAGGAGCUUGCUCCUCUGACGUUAGCGGCGGACGGGUGAGUAACACGUGGAUAACCUACCUAUAAGACUGGGAUAACUACGGGAAACCGGAGCUAAUACCGGAUAAUAUAUUGAACCGCAUGGUUCAAUAGUGAAAGACGGUUUUGCUGUCACUUAUAGAUGGAUCCGCGCCGCAUUAGCUAGUUGGUAAGGUAACGGCUUACCAAGGCAACGAUGCGUAGCCGACCUGAGAGGGUGAUCGGCCACACUGGAACUGAGACACGGUCCAGACUCCUACGGGAGGCAGCAGUAGGGAAUCUUCCGCAAUGGGCGAAAGCCUGACGGAGCAACGCCGCGUGAGUGAUGAAGGUCUUCGGAUCGUAAAACUCUGUUAUUAGGGAAGAACAAAUGUGUAAGUAACUAUGCACGUCUUGACGGUACCUAAUCAGAAAGCCACGGCUAACUACGUG
rnacentral:rRNA from 1 species